AAUAAUCAAUCAUCAAUAUCAACUGCCUUUUUGAUUGUUUAUUUAGAUCUUCUAUGAUUUAGAUUUUGUUAUGAAUUCGGAUUGCGAUCACCAUUUUCUAUUUAAUAUGCUGGAGAUGUGUAGAUACUUUACUGCCUAUAGCUGCUUAAUAAUUUUCACUAACUGUUGGAUUUUUGUGAAUAUGUUCACAUACAACUGCAUUCAUGAUGAUAUCACCCUUCAUAACAAAACACCUGGUUACUUUAACUACAAAAAGUUAAGGAAAAAGCGAGAAAGUAAUGAAAUAUUAUUUGAACCACUGAGCAUUUAUUUUCAUAUUGAUGAUGUGGGAAAAGUACUACCAAGUGAUGUCUAUUUUUACAUUGAUGUUGCUUUAUAUCGAGUAGCACAAUUUUUAUCAAAAACAAUUAAAGUUAAGCAUAGUAUGAAUCCUUUUGUACUUGAACGCACAAGUUGCUCACAGAUAUGGAGGGAAGGCUUGAAUAAAGGAAAAUGUUCUCGAAUGAGAUCUCGUCCAGAAUUUUGCUCUUCUAAAGAUACUGAUUUUAUGAUACCUGAUAAAUAUUUAGAUAAAUUAGAAAUUUACAACAACAUUGAUUCUGAUCCUGUAUCUAUUAUUAGCAAAGGUAGUGGUGUUAAAAAUAAAAAUUUGAUAGUUUUUGUUGUCAGUAAAACUACGUCAUGGUGUCAAAAUACUCAUGUCCAAGCAUAUGGAACUUAUUGCCGAUUGGAUGAAAGUAACAGACCUGUGGCUGGAUUAUUGAAUCUCUGUCCUGAAAAUCUUUCUAAAUCAUUGUACAAAUUUGAUCAUUAUCUCAAUAUUAUCACACAUGAGAUGUUUCAUAUCCUUGGCUUCUCAAAACAUCUCUAUCCAAAAUUUAAAACUUGCUCUUCAAGAUUUGACUGCCAAGUUCCAAAACAAAUUGUAAGCAUUGAUAAAUUUGGAAUUCAACGUCUAAUAUUUCCGGAAGUUGUAGAACAUAUGCAACUCCAUUUUAAUUGUUCUGACUCAGAAUUUGGUGGUCCAUUAGAAAACAUGCCUGCUGAAGGAUUUCAAAAUGAAUAUACGUCACAUUGGCAUCCACUUCUAAUGUAUAGUAGUAUUAUGACUCCUUCAAUACAACAGGAUGACUAUGUCGUUAUUGACAAUAUCACUCUAGCAUUACUUGCAAGCACAGGCUGGUAUGAAAUUGACUUUUCUAGAGCGCAGGCAUUUAUAUUUGGAAAAGGUGGGGGUUGUAAUUUCGGAUUUGCUCAAAAAUGUAAUGACUCGAAAUAUCUUUGUGAUUCAAGCCACCAAACUGGAUGUGAUAUAGCUUUAAAAACAAUAGGAAAAUGUGAGAAAAUUUCCUCUGAUCACCCAUGUGGAGUUUAUAAACCCAAUCACGAAGAAAGUUGCAUUGAAGAUGGAGGAGAAAAACUGAGAACUGAUUUGGAUUUAUUGGAUUAUAACCAACAGUGUGUAGUUCUUCAACAAAAAAAUGGCUUUGUUCCUAAAUGUGUUGCAUUGAAUUGUAAAACUUCAUCAUCUUUAAACUUGCUUUUUAAUGGAACUAUGGUUGACUGUGACUAUAGUAAUAAAGGGUCUAAUCAAGAAGUUUGCCUUAGGCAUCCACACAUCAUCCAUAUGCCAUUGUGUGUAGUAGAAUUGAUAUAAAUGAAGAGUUUUUGUAACUGGAGAAAUUUUAUCAAAAUCUCAAAGGGAAAUAAAAAAUUUUACUGAAAAUCUGAGAAAUAACCCUAAAUGAAACGCUAAAUGACUAUCUACCAAUCCUCUUCAUGCCAACUAACACAUAGGAUCUCAAGUUUCUUUUGCAAGUGCCCUCAUGGUGCAUAGCAUUUUUAAAAAGUGCUUAAAGACUCUAACAAAUGUCUCUUUGAACUGCCCAGCGGACCUUUCAUUUUGCAUUACUGAGGGAAUUGAAGUUGCUAACACAUUUUGUGAGUUUAGUAAGGAUAAAUUGG
rnacentral:misc_RNA from 1 species